GAUGAACGCUGGCGGCGUGCCUAAUACAUGCAAGUCGAGCGAACAGACGAGGAGCUUGCUCCUCUGACGUUAGCGGCGGACGGGUGAGUAACACGUGGAUAACCUACCUAUAAGACUGGGAUAACUUCGGGAAACCGGAGCUAAUACCGGAUAAUAUAUUGAACCGCAUGGUUCAAUAGUGAAAGACGGUUUUGCUGUCACUUAUAGAUGGAUCCGCGCCGCAUUAGCUAGUUGGUAAGGUAACGGCUUACCAAGGCGACGAUGCGUAGCCGACCUGAGGGGGUGAUCGGCCACACUGGAGCUGAGACACGGUCCAGACUCCGACGGGAGGCAGAAGUAGGGAAUCUUCCGAAAUGGGCGAAAGCCUGACGGAGCAACGCAGCGUGAGUGAUGAAGGUCUGCGGAUCGUAAAACGCUGUUAUUGGGGAAGAACAAAUGUGUAAGUAACGAUGCACGUCUGGACGGUACCUAAACAGAAAGCCACGGCUAACUACGU
rnacentral:rRNA from 1 species